UUGAUUGAAACUGUUGGUUUUCAGUUGGUAUCUAAGCCGGAAUGGAACACAUCUGCACCCAAGUAGCUCUAAAUAGGGUCAUUUAGCCUUACAGGUAUUAGACUAAUCUACAAACAACAUGAAUUAAUGUGGAUUUCUUAAUUGUUUAUGUAGUUGUAGCCUAUGGAAUGCUGACCAGUAUGUGCAAGUAUAGCAAUGUGUUAUACUAGUUUGUUAGACAAACAUACUGUGUCUGAAGAAUGUAAAUGUGAAGAUAAGAGGAGGAACAGGAGUUAGGCAAGAUAGAAACGUUCGUCAACAAGGCAUGGUGUUUAGUGGGAAAUCCAUUUGGAAAAGCUUAAGGAAAUCUUGAGGAUUAACUUAACACGAGCCAUUUUUGUUGGUACUAUCACCUAAGUAAAAGAAAUCCACACUCUUGGAGAUGGU